UGGGUAACCUGCCUCAAAGAGGGGAAUAGCCUCCCGAAAGGGAGAUUAAUACCGCAUAAUAUGUUUAAAUCGCAUGACUUUAACAUCAAAGGAUUUUUCUUUUAAGAAAUUCCACUUUGAGAUGGACCCGCGGUGCAUUAGCUAGUUGGUGAGGUAACGGCUCACCAAGGCAACGAUGCGUAGCCGACCUGAGAGGGUNAUCGGCCACAUUGGAACUGAGACACGGUCCAGACUCCGUAGGGAG
rnacentral:rRNA from 1 species